rnacentral:rRNA from 1 species
CUAUACAUGACUCUGCGCAUAUCAAUAAGCGGAGGAAAAGAAACUAACAAGGAUUCCCCUAGUAACGGCGAGUGAAGCGGGAAGAGCUCAAAUUUGAAAUCUUCAAGGUUCUACCUUGACGAAUUGUAGUUUAUAGAAGUGUUUUCUGUUAGUAGAGUGGCAAAAGUUCUUUGGAAUAGGACAUCAUAGAGGGUGAGAAUCCCGUAUUUGGUCAUUCUUUCUAGCUUUGUGAUACACUUUCAACGAGUCGGAUUGUUUGGGAAUGCAGUCCAAAAUGGGUGGUAAAUUUCAUCUAAAGCUAAAUAUUGGCGAGAGACCGAUAGCGAACAAGUACCGUGAGGGAAAGAUGAAAAGAACUUUGAAAAGAGAGUUAAACAGUACGUGAAAUUGUCAAAAGGGAAGCGUUUGACACCAGUGUUGUUUUUCUCGAAAAUCAAUUAAGAAUGAUGGAUUUUGUGUUAAGUUAUUGACUUUAUCAGGCUUUCUGCCUUUUUCUUAUCGAACUUUCUUAAUGCACUUUUCGCUUAACAAGUCAACAUCAAUUUCUUUUGUUGUAAAAGAGGUCAUUGAGGAAGGUGGCUUUCUUCUUCGGAGAAAGUGUUUAUAGCCUCUGUACCUUCUGCAAUCGGAGAGAUUGAGGUCUGCAGCGUAGAUCCUUCGGGGUUAGAUACAUUUGUGCUAAGUUAUAGCUUUUCAUAGACAACUUGUUGACUAUGUUUAGUCUUGUAGCUUACUCGCUUAUGCUAUUUUACCUACGCUUAGGAUGUUGAUAGUCACAGCGUGUAC